UACGAAGGGGGCUAGCGUUGCUCGGAGUCACUGGGCGUAAAGGGUGCGUAGGCGGGUCUUUAAGUCAGGGUGAAAUCCUGGAGCUCAACUCCAGAACUGCCUUUGAUACUGAGGAUCUUGAGUUCGGGAGAGGUGAGUGGAACUGCGAGUGUAGAGGUGAAAUUCGUAGAUAUUCGCAAGAACACCAGUGGCGAAGGCGGCUCACUGGCCCGAUACUGACGCUGAGGCACGAAAGCGUGGGGAGCAAACAGG
rnacentral:rRNA from 1 species